CACCGCCCGUCACACCAUGGGAGUGGGUUGCACCAGAAGCAGGUAGUCAAACCUUCGGGAGGACGCUUGCCACGGUGUGAUUCAUGACUGGGGGUG
rnacentral:rRNA from 1 species